CACCGGCGGCUCGAGUGGUGGCCCCUUUUAUUGGGUCUAAAGCGUCCGUAGCCGGCUUGGCAAGUCCCCUGGGAAAUCUGGCGGCUUAACCGUCAGGCGUCCAGAGGAUACUGCCAGGCUUGGGACCGGGAGAGGUGAGAGGUACCUCAGGGGUAGGGGUGAAAUCUUGUGAUCCCUGAGGGACCACCAGUGGCGAAGGCGACUCUCUGGUCUGCAACUGACGCUGAGGCUCGAAAGCAUGGGUAGCGAACAGG
rnacentral:rRNA from 1 species